GCUUGCCAAUGGGACUGAGCAAGUUAUCUAGCAGCCUAUGAAAUUGGAACAGCUUUGGCCCAAGGAGUUGUGAAGUGGUUGUUGAGGCAACGGUUUGCAGAUGAAGUGGGGCAUACAGAUCCACCGUGGAGUCACCUCUUCUGCCACAGAAGACAGAAGCAACAAUCUCAUUCUCGGGAGGGCCCAGGAGAAAGAAAUUUUGAGAAGAUAUAGUCUU